CCUACGGGAGGCAGCAGUGGGGAAUAUUGCACAAUGGGGGAAACCCUGAUGCAGCGACGCCGCGUGAGUGAAGAAGUAUUUCGGUACGUAAAGCUCUAUCAGCAGGGAAGAAAAUGACGGUACCUGACUAAGAAGCCCCGGCUAACUACGUGCCAGCAGCCGCGGUAAUACGUAGGGGGCAAGCGUUAUCCGGAUUUACUGGGUGUAAAGGGAGCGUAGACGGCAGCGCAAGUCUGGAGUGAAAUGCCAUGGCUUAACCAUGGGACUGCUUUGGAAACUGUACAGCUAGAGUGCAGGAGAGGUAAGCGGAAGUCCUAGUGUAGCGGUGAAAUGCGUAGAUAUUAGGAGGAACACCAGUGGCGAAGGCGGCUUACUGGACUGUAACUGACGUUGAGGCUCGAAAGCGUGGGGAGCAAACAGGAUUAGAUACCCCAGUAGUC
rnacentral:rRNA from 1 species